UGAUGAUGAUGACGAUGACCAAGGAGAAGA
rnacentral:piRNA from 1 species